rnacentral:rRNA from 1 species
GAUGAACGCUGGCGGCGUGCCUAAUACAUGCAAGUCGAGCGAACAGACGAGGAGCUUGCUCCUCUGACGUUAGCGGCGGACGGGUGAGUAACACGUGGAUAACCUACCUAUAAGACUGGGAUAACUUCGGGAAACCGGAGCUAAUACUGGAUAAUAUGUUGAAUCGCAUGGUUCAACAGUGAAAGACGGUCUUGCUGUCACUUAUAGAUGGAUCCGCGCCGCAUUAGCUAGUUGGUAAGGUAACGGCUUACCAAGGCAACGAUGCGUAGCCGACCUGAGAGGGUGAUCGGCCACACUGGAACUGAGACACGGUCCAGACUCCUACGGGAGGCAGCAGUAGGGAAUCUUCCGCAAUGGGCGAAAGCCUGACGGAGCAACGCCGCGUGAGUGAAGAAGGUCUUCGGAUCGUAAAACUCUGUUAUUAGGGAAGAACAAAUGUGUAAGUAACUAUGCACGUCUUGACGGUACCUAAUCAGAAAGCCACGGCUAACUACGUG